rnacentral:lncRNA from 1 species
UUCCGAUGAUUGGAAGCUCACCACUUCAAGCUGACUCUCAAGCUAUCCAAUGAUCACAUAUCACUGCGCAGUAAAAAUUGAAGUAUUUCUGGUGCCUGCAUCGCAUGGGGAUACACGUUCGGAGAUGGUUAGCGGGUUGAGCUCUAGCAUGUAACUCAGGUAAGGGAUAAAAUAAUGCCAUAUCAAAACCACAAUAAAAUCUACAUGCACACAAUGUAGGAAAAAAAGCUUAGCAUGAAGUAAGAACAUUAGCCUAGACUAUGUAGUUCAACCGUCAUAAAAGGCACCCAUGGACUAUAUGGGUUCAACUCUCCUUGCUAAAAGGGCCCCAGUGUGUGUUACCCGCACGAACCAGAGGUAUCAAGGAAGGCUAGAAAUGCUCUGACCCCACGUCAAUCCAAGAUACAAAUUUAUAGUAAGUGUGUCGUAAUCACACUGUCAUCAAGACCAACCCUCAUGUCCGCAAACGUGAGUUUCUAGUACAAGUCCUUCAAGAAUCACACCUUCACGACAUAGCUACAUGACCCCCAUUAAGCCCAAUUUAAAACAAGUUUCACAUAACCCAUUUAUUUAACUAUGGAAUGGCACAUUAAGGCAACCACAGGUAUCAUCAUACUCUUAUGCUUACAAGCUUACACUUACGUCAUUUUAAUUACAUUCCAACAUCUUAGGGAAAUGCCACGGCCCUCUUUGCUUAUUAAAUCAAGUUUGAGGAAUGCCUUAAACCCUUUUAGUUUAUAAAAUCUAUUCGGGGAAAUGCCUCGACCCCCAAGAUUUCAAUCUUAGUCAAAGCACAGCCAACAAGGUCUUCAAAAUCCAUGUUUAACCUUUUAACCAUUUAUGCAAUGCAAUAGUGUGGAUAAGAAAGUCAAACCAUGUGACAAACCCAUAAUUCAAAACCAAUUUCACAAUGGGUUGAGAGAACACAAUUCCUUAACCAAUUUCAACAAAAAAAUCAUCAAACUGGGGGACUUCCUCGACGCCCAUUCCAAUUGUCACACCCAUGCACCCCAUUAGUUUAAAAUAUUCAAUUUAAAAGAUGAACAAUUCAUAAUAAUCAUGUUAAAACAAUUUAAGACUCAACCAUGCCAAAACCCUCAACCCAUGUAAAAACCCAUAUUCAAUUUCACGUCAAUAACCAUUUAAUACACAUUCUUUAAGGAAAAUAAGCUUAAAGGUAGAGUCACUAUUAUGGAGAAAAUUCAAUCCUUGGAAGCUCUAAUUGCCAAACUUGAGAAACCCUAAGUGUUUUUGCUUGAGAGAAUUUGAGAGUUGUUUUGAUUGUUUUCUUGAUGAUAAUGAGGUUUGCAACAUGGUUUUAAGUCGUGGGUUAUUAUUGGGGAAAAGGUAAAUGUUUUGCGAAAAUUUUAACUUUUUUAGAGAGUCGCCAGUUAAUUUUAAAAAAGAAUUAAAAAACCUUUAUAAGAUAUUUUAAACAAUCGAAAACAGACAUAUCAUUUAAAAUUUGAAGAUUCUGAAAAAGCGGUUCCUAUUAACGUUUUCCAAAGGUUUAAGGCACCUAAAAUAUCCACUAACUUGCAGUUAUUCGAAUUGUUUGAAAACAUCUUUUGACUAACUUCAAAAAGAUUGAUUUGUUGAAAAGUCAUCGAAUUCUUUUUUUGGAAAAGACUUGUGUAAAAUAAAUUUGAACGACUUAAGAGGAAUUUCAACUAAGUCUAAACAAACUAAUAAGUAAAUAAACACAUAAAAGGGGAAAGGGAGGAGAAAGUAAAAGACUUAGGGCAUUGGGCCCAAAUCAACGAAACAUGUCGUAAUCUAUUCGGGCUUUUGACCCAUUUUCACCUGUCCUAAUCUAAAUGUUGGGCUUCAUCCCGUAACCUGUCCUCAAUUUAUUUUCCGAGCCCAUUGGCCCCAAAAUCUUCUCCACCUAUAUUAAAUUUACAACUUUGGCUUCGAGGCCCACAUAAAUGAAUAAAAAAACAAAUAAAUAAAGGAAUAAUAAAAAAACAAUGCAAAAUUUAAUGAUUUUUCAACAAUGGGUUUUGACCCAUCCUCUUCAUUUGUCUUCUUAUAUCCGUACGCCAUAUGAUCAACUUGGGAUUCAAUUUUGAGGCUGACCCAAGGCGAUGAUAGACCUCAAUAGCCCAUGAAGCAAAUGCAAGAAGAAAUUGAGUUCAUUUUGGACUCAAACCCGCCAAUACAUGUAAGGAAAAUUAUAAGGAUUAGAGCCUAAUGAUAAAUAAAAAUAAAAUGAAUAUGCAAUAAAUGAAUUCCGAGGUAAGACUCACGCCAAUGUCACAUGCAUAAAAAGGAAAGGAUUAGCAAAUGAUAGACAAUACUAGUUACGUAGCUAAUAAUCAUACAUAAUUAAACCAGUUCAAUAAUUCGCUUCAAACAAACACUGUCCACUAAACCCACUAUUAAUUCUGUCAAGUAUUAUCACUAUUUCAUUUACUUAGUCAUAUUAAAAGUUUACCCAGAGUAUGCAAACCUACACAUUCAGACUUAUUAUAAUAACUAGAGAGUAUAAUGAAAUAAUAAUUUGGCAUGCUUCAAAGAAUCUCUUAAGACCCAUAAAAAGCAAGAGAAAUAAAAGCAAGGAAUGAAAGUAAGUAUGACUGCACCAAAUAUGUCCAAGAAAAAUGAAAGAAUUUUUUUUUUGAAAUCGUAUAAAGGGAGAGAUUAACUAGGACGCAGAUGUACCAUACCACAAGUAAUAUUAAAGUCAAUUUCAGAGAAAAUAUGCUUGCUUGAACCAUUUAACACCAGUGAUGAAGAAAUAAAAAAAGCAUGGUGGAAUUUUCAAAACAAACUUUUUUUUUGUACCAAGUCAAAUCCCACAAAAAGGAAAAUCUAGUAAAAGAUGGUAAUAAAAGCCUUAAAAAUUGAAGAUUCAGGUCACAUCAGAGUCAAAAUAAUCUUUGAAAAAUUGAAAGCAGAAAAUAAAAUACUACGCGAAGGCGAAGUUUAACAACUACCGAUUUCAAUAUGUCAAGAAUAGAAAUGACAACCAGUCUAAAACACUUGAAUUAUCUCGUUUGAAACCAAGUCAUACUUAUGGAGCAACUGGACAUUCGUAAGAGUUUAUGCAUACCCGUCCGAUUUAUUUUGACGCCAACAAGAAAACUUAAGAUUAUGAAAACAGGAAAAAGGCAAAACAAAAUAAAAACAACGACCAGUUUCAGGCUUCUAAACAAUCACUCACUCAAGGAAACAGAAAAAAUGUUUUAGAUGAAACAUCAAAGUCAUAGUCUUUUAUUGUAUAAUAAACAGAUUCAAUGCUGGAAUGAAAGAAAUCAACAAUAGUCUUCCUAAAUUACGACAAGAACCCAUCACUAAAUUCAGUCACAAUCAAAUUCCACUCCUAAUAACAAACCCUCAUCAACAUCGAAAUCAAAUCAGAAACGAGAACCCAGAAAUUAACCAAGCGUCUAAGACAGGAAUGUGUUUUUGCAAAAUUACCAAUCAAACAAGAACAGGAAACCUAUGGCCGUCAGGACCUCUACAGCAGCUAAUCCCAGCAUACAAGGCAAUAAUCAAAGCUACUACUGCUAAAACUAUCACAACGCAACAGUAAAAAAAUCAAGUACUGACCAGCUUUUGGGCAGCAAAACUGGACAACGAGUUGACGACAGGAUCUCGACCACCAGAAAAAUCUCACAGCUGCUUCCGACUGUUCGCAGCGACUCCGAAAAUGUCAAAAUGGUUGACUGCUUUCGAAAAUAAUUUUUUAUACUAAAAAAUAACUGGUUGCUUGAAAGUAGAUUUUUCCCCACCUUCAAGACUUGGAGUUUUCAGCUCAAGAAAGGGACUUAUUCGAAUUUUUUGGGGUUAACUUGUUGCUUUUGGCGAUGUGGUAUGGAAAUUGUGAAGGAUAAUUUUGGGAUUUCAAAAUCAAGGAUAAGGUCGUUCAACAGCGUACAAAUUAGUACCAAUUUUGAAUUUUGAAAAUGGGUCUAUGUCGUUGCUGAGUCUCAAUUAUUGAAGCUGCUGACGUUGUUCGCGGGUCGGGGUUAUGGGUUUGGUUUGGAUGAAAAAGAGAUGUUGGGGAUUUAUCGGGUUGGAACCCGGUUUGCUAUUGUUGGAUGUUGUUAUCGCGACUGGAAUUAGGUUUGGGUCCCCGGAGUGGUUUUCUGGGUUGGUUAUUUUCGCGUAUUGCUGUUCGAAGGUUGUUGUUUCGUUGUUGGAUGCGUAUUCCUUCUGCUUUGUUGUUGUUGGUGUGGUGCUGAAGACAAGAUAUGGUAGGCCCGUUUGGGUUAGGCUGUUAGGCCACUAGUUGUUGUUAGUUGGUGUUUUUUUGAAGCUUCUAUACGUAUACAUGGAGAGAGACAAAUUAGAGUUUAGGCUGGGUCAGCCGAAUUUUGGGCUGGGCGGUAAUGGGCCUGCUGAGGGAUCAAUUGGACCAAAAAUUGAGGUUAUU